UACGAAGGAUGCAAGCGUUACUCGGAAUUACUGGGCGUAAAGGGUGCGUAGGUGGUUUGUUAAGUCUGCUGUGAAAUCCCCGGGCUCAACCUGGGAAUGGCAGUGGAUACUGGCAAGCUAGAGUGCGGUAGAGGGUAGUGGAAUUCCCGGUGUAGCAGUGAAAUGCGUAGAGAUCAGGAGGAACACCGGUGGCGAAGGCGGGUCUCUGGGCCGAUACUGACGCUGAGGAGCGAAAGCGUGGGGAGCGAACAGG
rnacentral:rRNA from 1 species